AUUGAACGCUGGCGGCAGGCCUAACACAUGCAAGUCGAGCGGAUGAAGGGAGCUUGCUCCUGGAUUCGGCGGCGGACGGGUGAGUAAUGCCUAGGAAUCUGCCUGGUAGUGGGGGAUAACGUCCGGAAACGGGCGCUAAUACCGCAUACGUCCUGAGGGAGAAAGUGGGGGAUCUUCGGACCUCACGCUAUCAGAUGAGCCUAGGUCGGAUUAGCUAGUUGGUGGGGUAAAGGCCUACCAAGGCGACGAUCCGUAACUGGUCUGAGAGGAUGAUCAGUCACACUGGAACUGAGACACGGUCCAGACUCCUACGGGAGGCAGCAGUGGGGAAUAUUGGACAAUGGGCGAAAGCCUGAUCCAGCCAUGCCGCGUGUGUGAAGAAGGUCUUCGGAUUGUAAAGCAUUUUAAGUUGGGAGGAAGGGCAGUAAGUUAAUACCUUGCUGUUUUGACGUUACCAACAGAAUAAGCACCGGCUAACUUCGUG
rnacentral:rRNA from 1 species